AGGGCUGUGUGUCCUUCACUAUCAUGGAGACGAGGGCUUCAUCCAGCUCUUGUUUUCUGGUGGCUGGAUAAGAGAGAAUAAAUACAGUGUCUGUUACCUGUCUUUAUUUGCACAAUAAACAGUGAACAGGGACAAAUUGUGAUGGUACAAUUGUAAUAUUGUAAUGACUUAACUUGGCUGGGUGAAGCUCCAGUUUCCUCCUUAUUCUCAUCGAAAGCGCGGUGAUGCCUUAGCACGGAUGAGGUGUUGUUAUUGUACUCCAACUCCUUGGAGCAGUUCUUGAUGAGCAAACUUAAUGUGUUUGAAAUGGAGUUAGAUUUAGCUUACCUUAUUAGGAGUCAUCGAGUGUUCCCACACAGGGGAAAUCCUCCUCUUCCUAGCUGGCUCGACCAUAUCACCGAUCCUUCCCUCCUCACUUUCCUAAUUCUCCAAACUAUCUCUCUCCCUCUCUAACCUCUCCAAACUAUCUCUCUCCCUCUAACUUCUCCAAACUAUAUAAAGGCUAUCCAAACUCUCAACUCCACCAACAACCCACAUUUUGAAUGGAGCCUGAGGGGUUUAUAUUGCCGUCAAACGUCCCCUAACGUCCCCUCAAAUAAGCCAAUCUACAAUUUGCUAUAGAUAAGUAGCGUUACAAGUACAAUUUAAGCGCUACAGUUUGUUAGUCCUUUAGUUGAGGUAGAGUCUGAAGAGGUGUGUCUUUAGUUUGCGGCGGAAGACGUGAAGGCUUUCUGCGGUCCUGGUGUCUUCAGAGAGCUCGUUCCACCAUUUCGGAGCAAGGACAGCAAAGAGUCGUGAUCUAGUCAAGUGUUUUGCACUCAGUGAGGGAGGGACAAGCAGUUUAUCAGAUGCAGAGCGGAGAGUGCGGGUCGGGAUGUGGGGUUUGACCAUGUCCUAGAUGUAAGCUGGACCGGUAGCCAGUGAAGAGAGCGGAGGAGUGGAGUAUUGUGGGAGAAUUAAGGAAGGUUAAAGACCAGUCAAGCUGCUGCAUUCUGAAUGAGCUGCAGAGGUCGAAUCGCGAUAGCGGGGAGAACUGCCAGGAGUUACGAUGGUCCAGGUGGGAGAUGACAAGAGCCUGAAUCAGUGCCUGUGUAGCAGUAGGAGUAGACUCCUAAUCACCGUAUGCCCGCGGGACCAAUCAGAGGGCAGGGACCGGUAUAAACAAACCACAGUAGUCUCCUCCCUCCUAUCGCCCUCUUGGCCAGGUGACGGAACAGUGUCAGUCUUCUGCGUCAUUCACCCGGCAUGGUUGUUCGGCGCUGCUACAGGUAAGGUUGUGAACUGGCUGUCUCCGCGCACUUUAUCUCGCUAAUGCCGUCAGCUGCCUUUUAUAUCUCGUAUGUGAUCCCCAUAGAUCCCCGGCUGUCGAAACCGCGUAGCUCCCUAACAUAGAGCGACCGCCACGAAGCUUGCCGAGCGGCGUGAUCGCCCGAGCUGUCUCCUUCACGGCGACGUCAGUAACUUGUUUAAUUGGGAUUGUACCGGAGGAUCUUGGCCACCGUUAGCAGUCCAACUAGCUGCUGUUUUGCCUAUACGCCUUCUACCUCGGUUUGCGUACAUGUGUUUUUUUGUACUGCGUUGCCUCAAUUGUUUUGGGCCGGACCGCCUACACCGUUGUGCUCGGACGGCUUUACCCGGAUGAACAAUUUUAGCGUGACGUUCGAUCUUUCCCUUCCCCUUGACUUAUUGGGUCGAUGGAGUUAUCUUGUUUUCUUUAUUGUUUAGUUUGUUCUGUAUUUUUGUUUCUUUAUAACCGGGUGAGUGAACCCGGUUGUAUGUACGCGUGUUUAACGUUUUGUUUCUUUAUUCUUUCUAGAGCUGAACGCCGAAGGUGGUGGUGUGGUGUCCCGGUGGUGGUAUCCCUUUACUCGUUUGCUGUGGUCUUUCGUUUUCAUUUAUUUUGCUGUGCUCACUAUUUUGUUUUUGUGUUCACGGGUGUCUUCUCCUGAAACCUCCCCCGCUGCCCUCGUGUCCCCUCCACAACCACUGAGCCCUGACCUAAACCCAAUUGAGCAUGUCUGGAGAGACCUGAAAAUUGCGGUCCACCAACCUUUACCAUCCAACCGGAACUGGAGAGGAUCUCCAAAUCCAGAUGGGGUUCUGAGUGUACAUUAAUGCCCAUAGACUACCCAUAGUGACUCUCUCUACCAACAAACUCCUGGAACAAUGAGUGCCUACAGUUGUCAUUUAGGCAGGCUCCAAAGGUGACCCGCCACCACCCCUGACACCUCCAAUCUACACCCGAAUCUGGCAUAGCAGAAGAGUUAUGCAACUUGGGUUUUUCCACCACCACCACCAGUGUCUGGACUUCCAAAGGGGGGGGGG
ensembl:lncRNA